AAGAGCACGACAUUGCUCACAUUGCUUCCAGUAUUGUUGCCCGCCUUAAUGGCGGGCUUUUUUU
rnacentral:antisense_RNA from 2 species